AGAGACAUCGAAUCUUGUUGUCACUUGGUAAGAUUGACGUUUAAUUUCUAAUUGUGGCGAUAUUUGGAUAUGUACGCGAAGAAAAUAAUGUAUUUCGCGUUUUCUAGAGAACUCUCAUCGGCAAUCACUAAUCACUGCUACUGUGCAAGACGUACUGCUUUCAGCUCGCUUCGUAAAUCGUAAACUGACCUCCAAAUUCAACAAGGUUUAGAAACGCUGACGAAGAAUUAUUCUAUAUAUAUGGAACAUAUUGUUAUGGAAUAAAGUCUCCAAAUAUUUCAGGAAACAUCAGUCUUGAAGAGCACAAGAAGAGCGUAACACUAACGACUACUAAAAUUCAAAUCGAGUCACGCUUCGAAUGGACGGUUACCGCGAACCGCGCUUCCGCGAAAUCUUUCACGGUGCGAUGAAUCCACGGUAGUUUCGUCGGACGAGAGCUCGAUUCCCACGGGCGAGUCGUGGCGUGUCACAAGCGACGGUUGUGUCGUUGUGUGAGACAGGCACACAGCCUUUUAUUUUUCUCGUAUAUCGGCUUAUCAAAUCGGUUGACUUAAUAUAUAUGCAACGCGCCGAGACGGCUGGGCAAACAACACUGACCUCGAGACACAAGCACGAAUGACGUCGCGCAUUGAAUUUUUUUUCUCUUCGAACUGAGGCCGACGGUUCGAUCCACGCAAACAUAUUCUGUACACGUAGGACACAUCUGUGAUUCGACAGGAACCACGAAGAAACGAGAUUCGAACAAGAGAUUCACUCGAAGAGAUAGAUAAAACACUGCACGAGUAUCCGUUUCGUAGAAGCCGUCACACUGAUUGCAAACGAACGAACUGAAUAUCCGUUGAUGUACAGAGACGUCCGUCUAUACACGUCCAAAUCUUCCUACACUACACUGCAGAGUAGAGAAACGCCAAUGAAUUUUGGGCCGAGCAACCUGAAAUCGGGAUUCCAAGUCCAAUGAGAAUACGAUCUCGCGGGAAUCGAGAAACACAACGCUAGGAACGAUUUGGAACAGAAACAGGGCUAUAGAAGAGUGACAUAGGGACUUACGUUCGGCGAGCCUUGAGCGCCCAAUCCAUAUCUCGCGCGACGUUUUCGGUGAGUUUCACGAUACACCUCGUGUUUGCUUUCGUGGCGUUUUUAUCCCGGAUGUAACCAAAAUAUUGCACACUCCGCACACGCACAACAGCACACAGCGUUUUUAUCUUUCUUAGCCGUGUUUCACCACUGGUCCGACCCGCUACGCAACGAGCGGCUUGCGCGCGCAUGUAACAUAUAACACACUGGGUCUGUUGUCU